rnacentral:rRNA from 1 species
GACGAACGCUGGCGGCGUGCUUAACACAUGCGAGUCGAACGGUGAAGCUCCAGCUUGCUGGAGUGGAUCAGUGGCGAACGGGUGAGUAACACGUGAGCAACCUGCCCCUGACUCUGGAAUAAGCGCUGGAAACGGCGUCUAAUACUGGAUACGAGAAGGGUCCGCAUGGGCACUUUCUGGAAAGUUUUUCGGUUGGGGAUGGGCUCGCGGCCUAUCAGCUUGUUGGUGAGGUAAUGGCUCACCAAGGCGACGACGGGUAGCCGGCCUGAGAGGGCGACCGGCCACACUGGGACUGAGACACGGCCCAGACUCCUACGGGAGGCAGCAGUGGGGUAUAUUGCACAAUGGGCGAAAGCCUGAUGCAGCGACGCCGCGUGAGGGAUGACGGCCUUCGGGUUGUAAACCUCUUUCAGCAGGGAAGAAGCGAAAGUGACGGUACCUGCAGAAGAAGCACCGGCUAACUACGUG